AACGAACGCUGGCGGCAUGCCUAACACAUGCAAGUCGAACGAGACCUUCGGGUCUAGUGGCGCACGGGUGCGUAACGCGUGGGAAUCUGCCCUUGGGUUCGGAAUAACAGUUAGAAAUGACUGCUAAUACCGGAUAAUGUCUUCGGACCAAAGAUUUAUCGCCCAGGGAUGAGCCCGCGUAGGAUUAGCUAGUUGGUGAGGUAAAGGCUCACCAAGGCGACGAUCCUUAGCUGGUCUGAGAGGAUGAUCAGCCACACUGGGACUGAGACACGGCCCAGACUCCUACGGGAGGCAGCAGUGGGGAAUAUUGGACAAUGGGCGAAAGCCUGAUCCAGCAAUGCCGCGUGAGUGAUGAAGGCCUUAGGGUUGUAAAGCUCUUUUACCCGGGAUGAUAAUGACAGUACCGGGAGAAUAAGCCCCGGCUAACUCCGUGCCAGCAGCCGCGG
rnacentral:rRNA from 1 species